rnacentral:rRNA from 1 species
UACGUAGGCAGCGAGCGUUGUUCGGAAUUACUGGGCGUAAAGAGUGUGUAGGCGGUGCUCUAAGUUCGGUGUGAAAUCUCCUGGCUCAACUGGGAGGGUGCGCCGGAAACUGGAGUGCUUGAGCGUGGGAGAGGAAAGCGGAAUUCCUGGUGUAGCGGUGAAAUGCGUAGAUAUCAGGAGGAACACCGGUGGUGUAGACGGCUCUCUGGACCGUAACUGACGCUGAGACACGAAAGCGUGGGUAGCAAACAGG